ensembl:lncRNA
GUCUUGCAACCUCCCAGUAGCAGCAGCGUUAGGAGAUCUGUUAGUUAUCAUUGGACAACAGCAAGAUAACAGUGGAAACCGUGUUUCCUGGCUUAUCCUCUCAUCCUAUUCCCUGAAUGAGUUUGCUUUUGGGGAGGUGGCUGUUCCUUCAGACUGGGAUAUGCCUGGUGGCUCCCUUUGCUCGCAUCUCCUAUUUUCAAGCUGCUUGCAGCCUCAUUGCCUGUACUGUUCAGCAGGAGCUUCUGAGGGGAAAGGGCAGUCUGUUGCCCCAGGGCAUGAUGAGGUCUGUGAGGCUGGAAGUAAUGAAUGGAUCAGUUUGCAAUCCUGGAGAACAGCUCUUCAGCACAGCCCCUGGAUUGCCUUGAGGAUACAUCCCAUGCUUCCCCGUGGACAUCCCUUGGUUCUCCUCCCUUUCCCACUCUGCUUUUCAUCUGUUCUUCAUGCUUGCUGUUCAGCAAGGCUUGCCUUGUGUUUGGGAUAUUAGAAAGCUUUGGGCUGUUCAGUGGCCUUGGAAAAUUGCUGUCUUUUUCCUUCCAUUUGUCCUUACUUUGGGGUUCACCUCGGCAUGUUAUGAGUUGACUGCAGAAUAGUGGAGAGAGGAUUUCCAUUAACCCAGAGACUUGCUAUGAGGUGGUUGGUGCCAUUGGUGGUCCAGCAAUGGGUAAGAGCUGGUAGGAUCAACCUGUUUUGUUCUGUGCUCCCUGCCAGCCCCACAUCCACCACUGCCUUUCCACACAACCAGAGCUUACAGAACAGUACGUAGAUCUUUAAUCUCACAGCGCAGUGAGCUCUGUGGGGUUUGGUGCUCCUCCUCCUGCUGCACCACUGCUCCUUCCUCACCAGGAGCUGACACAGGAUGGCUCCCGGUCCUUUUUCCUGCAGUCCAGACAGUCUCUGGGCCACCUGGGGAAGGAGAAAAAAGAAUAUCAAGCCGGGGGAGAUUGCUGAAGAUGCCCCAAACCCUGCUGGAGCCUUCCUGAUGUCUCCAGGAGGUGUGAAGCAGCAGGUGGCCGUCCUGCUGGUGCUGUGCCCCAGGAGCUGCACCCAGGGGUGUGUCGGGGCAGUUCGGGGUCCCAGGGUGAGGUGCACUCCGAGCCGCCAGCUGCCGUGCGUCACCGCCAUUCCUUGGCACCAUGCACAGCGUGUCACAGCCUUCUCCAUUUCAUUUCUUAAUGUUCCCUGGGUCUGAAAUCCAUCAACCAGCGCUGAGAAAAAACAUACGAAGAGGAAGCCAAAGCAGAACUGAAAUGACAAAGAAGUUUAAGCAGAGAUGAAGAGAAAGCAGAAAUUUGGGGACCGGCCCGUCAGGACUUGUUCAGGCCUCACUGAUUUGCAGUCUGAAGCAGCGACACGGAUCUGCAGCGUAUCCUGAGCCUCAUUUCUCAACCUUUGAGGGUUAUUUAAGGGAUCUCUGGUCCCCGGUGAGGCUGAGUCAGAAAAGCCAUCUCUGCACAGACAGGAGGGGGAUUAAGUCGGGUCCUGCUUCCCCUUUUAAGCUGCAGGAGAUACCAGCGAGGCCGUUCCCAUGGGACAGAGAUUAUCUCAUUGCUUUUGCUGGAAACGUCUGAGGGAUGCAGCGCAGGGAGAUGAUGGAUGGCUGUGAAACAUGAAGCGUGGAUCCAAGGGAUGGCUCUGCACACGCUUUACAUUUGCUUAAGCCAGAGAAGGACGUGGAUAUGCCGACUACCUGAUAAAGGUCUUUAAUCCUACAGUUGGACUUUCUGUGGGGUUGCAGGGAGCUUUGCUCCUUAUCUAUCCCGGAAUGUUACUGAUGUCGUGGACUCCAGCAAAGGUGAAUGUCCCAAUUUCAGGUCAAGUUGAUGCUGAUAGGGGUGCAGCUGUGGGAUCUGAAACGGAUUAAGGCCGGCUAUAUGAAUUUCAUAAAUAGUAAUACUAAACCAGUGCACACCUUAGGCUGAUAUUAAACAGGGGAUGAGUUGGUAUUCAUCCUUAAUAGCGAAUGCAUUAUAAUGAAAUGGAAACAUCAGGUUUUACUUACAAAGCCCAGGUUUCCCAUAGGAGGCGGUUUAUGGAGUGACCAUUUAUUAAAGACAAAUGCUAUCAUUCGAAACAUAUCUCAUGUAGAGAGGGGGACGGGCUGAUUCGGAGGAGCGGUAAUGAGAGCCGGAGCUUUGCAUUUACAAGGCAUUGAUGGAAGCAGGCUGAGCAUCAAGGCAAGGUGCACUGUCCCCCUGAGCCUCAGCAGCACUGCGAGGUGCUGAGCGCUGAGCCCCGACCCCAAAACCGAAUGGUAACACAUAUCGAGCAGCAGGCAGAAAGCAAAGCCGGUUCUCUCGAGUCAGAGCAGUCAUGUGCUUAAAAUAAGUCCAUCUUGGAGAGGAGCCAUCACCUCAGCAGGGCUCUGGGGGCUGAGCAGGGCUGGGGUGCUAAGCUCUGCUCUCUGCACUGGAAAUCCCCAGAAAUACGAGCUGGCUGCUGCUGAAUGGCUCCGGGUCUGCGUGAUGCUGUCUGAAGGAGCAGGCAAGAGAGCGCCAGGGGUUGUGCUCCAUCCUGUCGUUGCCACGUGGGUGGGUAACUGCGUCCUCAGGUUUUGCUUGUUUCAUCUUUGUGGUUUUGUCAUUCAUUGGGAAUUUCCAGCUCACGGCUGCCCUACGUACACACAGUUCACAGCUCUGGUGCGCUCUGAAGCACUAUGAUUCAUUCAAGUGGAAGGAGAAUGCGCAGAGCACCCUCAGGCCUGAGCCCAGGAGGGCAGUGCUGAUGGUAGCAGAGGGCACAGUGCCUCUUCUGCACACUCAGAGGCUUCUGUGACCUGAGGAGCGUACACAAAAAGGAAGGGAGAUCCCCCAUGUUUUAAUGUGCUCCUGCUGAGGGAUGCCAAUGUCAGCACCCACAGCCACAGCCCUUCCAAAGCCACAUGGCUUCCCUUUCACUUCAUGAGUUAGUGAUUUGGAAUUGCAGGGCAAAUGUUAAAUGUUAACAACUGCUGGUAAAGUCACAUCUGCAGAUCGUUUUGCUGUUCACCUGGAAAGAAACAGCUCUCAUUCAAUUAAUCAAAGAAGUAUAUGGUGGCUUUCUGGAUAGAUGCUGGCACCCUGACAGGACGAUGCUGUUCGUUCUUUGGGAUUGAAUCAGAAAUCCAGGAUGAGGACAUCAUUUGGAGGAAGUGGCAGGUAAAAUUGCAUGCUUUCUAGAAGCAUAGAUUUGGUUUGUUGCGUGUAGGAAGACUUUCUGGCUCAUUGUAGUAUGACAUUUGCAACCAUUUAAUUUGAAUAAAUUCCAUUUUUAUGUUC